AGCUAAUUAGCUAAACCCCCAUAGCUUGUAUCUUGAAAAUACAGAUUAGAAGUUAAAGACUUCUAUUAGCUU
rnacentral:tRNA from 1 species